GAGGAAGAAGGAGAAGGGUUAGCGUAAAGAAGAAGAGGUAGUAGAGGGUUGGGGGGGGGUCUUGUGCACAAGUCGGUCGCAGUGGAAGGGAGGAAGAAAAGAGUGGUGCAGAAGAAGAAGGAAGAAGAAGAAGAAAUCGAAGAAGAAGAAAAAUUGUAAUAUAGUUACGAUACAUACGAAAAAGUCAAGAGAAGAAAAAAAAAAGGAAAAAAGAAAAAGGUUACCUUUUUCACGUGUUACCGCGAGAAUAUAUUCUCUCGUGUUACGUCACGUGUACGUCAUACGUUAAAGCAGACAUUCCUGGCAUAUUUGGCGGGAAUUUGAAUUUAUCAAUCGGAACGGGAACAAGACUCGUCGAUUUUUAUCGACUUAAUUAACGUCGUCCUGUGACGUUCGUGCGAUUUUUUGAUAUCACCCAAAAGGAAGAGUUUCGUCGAUAUAAUCGAACCCUAAAAAAGAGAGAAAGAGAGAGAGAGAGAGAGAAAAAGAGAGAGAGAGAUCCUUGUCCUCUCUCUCUCCCAUCCACCCACUCACCCACCCUUAAUCCCUACCUCCCUCCCACCCCCGUGUAAAAGGACACGUGGAGACAGUGGAGGUGGAGGAGGACGGCGGGAGGAGGAG